rnacentral:tRNA from 1 species
GCUCUCGUAGUGUAAAGGUUAACACCUUCGACUUUCUAUCGAAUGAUCCGGGUUCGAUUCCCGGCGGGAGUA